CCUAAGAGAUACGUGUUAUGUGCAGUGCUCACACAGAUUGUCUGAUGAAGAACGAGCAAAAGCGCGUCUGCGAAGCUGACAAAAGUCCCCUUCGUCUAGAGGCCUAGGACACCGCCCUUUCACGGCGGUAACAGGGGUUCGAAUCCCCUAGGGGACGCCAAUGCGCGGUAUGAGUGAAAGGCGUACCACUUAUCUGACGAGAGUCAGAGAAUAACUAAGCUAAUUCAAAUGAGUUAUCUUACUUAUUAUGCUCUUUAACAAUCUGGAACAAGCUGAAAAAUUGAAAACAAAUCAAUAUAUCACCGAGGUAUAUUGGUGAGUCUCUCAAAAUCUCAAACCUUAAAGUUUGUCACGCAAAGUUUAUCUUUGAAAAAGACACUUUCGGGUUGUGA
rnacentral:misc_RNA from 1 species